UUUUAAUGUAAUUGGAUGAUCUUGGACUUUGGAUAAAAGCUUGUUGUAUUGCCCUUGAUGAAGCUCAACGAGCGAAACAUGUCGGGCCCCUUCCAACAGGUUCCUCUGCGACUUUUUAGUCGCUAUUACCAUCAAUGAGACCAUCCAUGUCUUGUCUUGUAUUUUGUUAUAUGUAAAAUUUAUGUAUGAAUAAAUUAUUAUUUUUGUAUUUA